AGCGGCGGACGGGUGAGUAACGCGUGGGUAACCUGCCCUAUACACACGGAUAACAUACCGAAAGGUAUGCUAAUACGAGAUAAUGUAAGAGAUUCACAUGGAUUUCUUAUCAAAGCUGAGGCGGUAUAGGAUGGACCCGCGUCUGAUUAGCUAGUUGGUAAGGUAACGGCUUACCAAGGCGACGAUCAGUAGCCGACCUGAGAGGGUGAUCGGCCACAUUGGAACUGAGACACGGUCCAAACUCCUACGGGAGGCAGCAGUGGGGAAUAUUGCACAAUGGGCGAAAGCCUGAUGCAGCAACGCCGCGUGAGUGAUGAAGGCCUUCGGGUCGUAAAACUCUGUCCUCAAGGAAGAUAAUGACGGUACUUGAGGAGGAAGCCCCGGCUAACUACGUGCCAGCAGCCGCGGUAAUACGUAGGGGGCUAGCGUUAUCCGGAUUUACUGGGCGUAAAGGGUGCGUAGGUGGUCUCUUAAGUCAGGAGUGAAAGGCUACGGCUUAACCGUAGUAAGCUCUUGAAACUGGGAGACUUGAGUGCAGGAGAGGAAAGUGGAAUUCCUAGUGUAGCGGUGAAAUGCGUAGAUAUUAGGAGGAACACCAGUAGCGAAGGCGGCUUUCUGGACUGUAACUGACACUGAGGCACGAAAGCGUGGGGAGCAAACAGGAUUAGAUACCCUGGUAGUCCACGCCGUAAACGAUGAGUACUAGGUGU
rnacentral:rRNA from 1 species